UAUAAAAGGCAAGGGAGGGAGAAGAGGUCUGAUUUGUCUACUGUCAAAAAGAGACAACCGCCGCACAAAUCACGGCUUCACAAAUUUCGUGUCCUGAGUGCUCCGGAGAUCUUGGAAAUUACAUUGAAGAGACCAACCCAGCUAUGGAAACCUAAGUGGAGAAGAUCAUUCAAGAAGCUUUUGAUCUUUUGCUGAACCCGAAGUCUACAAUAGAAGCCUAGUCUUGAAGUCAUGGCAUUUUCUCGGAUUGCUAGAGGCAGUCUCAGUAGGGUGAUUGGAUCUCAUGUCGGUGAGAAGGAUUUGAUUCCCCAGGGUCUUGCAUCAAGUUUAUGUUCAUUGCGUUCCUCUGAAAAUGCACGAAGUUCAAGUGCAGACUUCUUCUUCCACUCCGACCCCAGGCACUCGUCAAAGCUUGGGCUUGGCCACUCGAAUAGCCAGGUGAGAGGUAUAAAGACCACCCCGCAUUUUCAGUUUCCUAAUGCCAUGAGUGCUGUGGAGGAGUCCGACUCCGAGGAUGAGGCUCAGAAGUUUCCCGGCCUUGAGGCGACGAAGCCUGGUGAGAAGCCUAGGGUGGUCGUCCUGGGAACAGGUUGGGCUGCCUGCAGGUUCAUGAAGGGCCUUGACACGAGAAUAUAUGAUGUUGUCUGCGUCUCACCAAGGAACCACAUGGUGUUCACCCCUCUGCUCGCCUCGACAUGUGUUGGAACACUGGAGUUCCGGUCCGUGGCUGAGCCUGUUGGUAGGAUACAACCGGCAUUGGCAACAAGUCCUAACUCUUACUUCUACUUGUCUUCGUGCACAGGCAUCGAUACGGAUAAACAUGAGGUAUAUUGUGAGACAGUUAGUGACGGAGGAUUAGCACACGAGCCUCACCAUUUCAAAGUCGCAUACGACAAGCUUGUAAUCGCGGCCGGAUCUGAGCCCUUGACGUUCGGGAUAAAGGGCGUUAUGGAACAUGCAUACUUCCUCCGUGAGGUGAAUCACGCACAAGAGAUAAGGAAGAAGCUUCUUCUGAACUUGAUGCUAUCCGACAAUCCAGGCAUAUCGGAAGAAGAAAGGAAGCGGCUUUUGCAUUGUGUGGUCAUAGGAGGUGGUCCCACUGGAGUCGAGUUUAGCGGCGAACUAAGCGAUUUCAUCAUGAAAGAUGUCCGAGAACGAUAUACUCAUGUCAAGGAUUACAUUCAAGUCACUCUCAUUGAGGCAAAUGAAAUCCUGUCAUCGUUUGAUGUUGGACUGAGGCAAUAUGCAACCAAUCAUUUUAAUAAGUGUGGUGUUCGGCUCAUGAGAGGAGUUGUUAAAGAGGUGCAAGCAAAGAAAAUUGUGCUGAAUGAUGGAACCGAAGUUCCUUAUGGCCUCUUAGUUUGGUCUACUGGUGUCGGUCCAUCACAGUUCAUUAAAUCGCUCAACCUCCCCAAAUCCCCCGGUGGAAGGAUCGGUGUUGAUACGUGGUUACGGGUGCCUUCCGUGGAAGAUGUGUUCGCACUAGGUGAUUGUGCAGGAUUCCUUGAACAGACGGGGAGGCCCGUGCUGCCUGCUCUUGCUCAGGUGGCAGAGAGGGAAGGAAAAUUUCUGAUGGACUUAUUCAACCGGAUCGGGAAGCAAAAUGGUGGAAAGGCCUUCUCCACGACGAGCAUCAACCUCGGUGACCCUUUUGUUUACAGACAUCUUGGGAGUAUGGCCUCGGUCGGGCAUUACAAGGCACUAGUCGAUCUACGCGAGUCUAAGGACGCAAAGGGCAUAGCACAUGCUGGAUUCAUAAGCUGGCUGAUAUGGAGAUCAGCUUACCUCACCCGCGUCGUCAGUUGGAGGAACCGGUUUUAUGUAGCAGUGAACUGGGCGACCACUCUUGUCUUCGGAAGAGAUAAUUCCCGAAUUGGCGCAUGAUUUCCUUGUCUUUCUUUUCUAACUUUUACUGAUGGGUCAUUUUGAUUUGGUUACACGCUCCAAAGAUAAGCAUUUGUAAUCAAGGUUGAAACCUUGGAGUGCUUUCAGGCUAUGUACGGAAAACCCUCAAAUCUCUCUCAUUCUUAAUGCUGAAAGCAUACACCGUCCCUAGCAGCCAGCUUGAGGAUAACCAUGAAACAGGAGACGACAUGGGCCAGCUGGGGGUGCAGCCCGCUUCAUAGGCCCAUUCUCCACCGGCCCAAUGUGAAGAUCAGGACUAAAUUCAACUGAUUCAGGGCCGGAUCAAUAAUCAGAUGUAUCCGGCGGCUGGUAAUACUGUAAUAAGUAUAAUAUCGACAGACACAAUCUUUUGUUAUGGCAAAAAAAAUAUAUAUAUAUAUUGGUUUUAUAUUUAA